CAGCCGCCGCGGUAACACGGAGGGUGCAAGCGUUGUCCGGAUUUAUUGGGUUUAAAGGGUGCGUAGGCGGCUAUUUAAGUCAGCGGUGAAAGACUCCGGCUCAACCGGAGCAGUGCCAUUGAUACUGGAUAGCUUGAGUGUUGGAGGGGUACAUGGAAUUGAUGGUGUAGCGGUGAAAUGCAUAGAUACCAUCAGGAACACCGAUAGCGAAGGCAUUGUACUGGCCAACAACUGACGCUGAGGCACGAAAGCAUGGGGAGCGAACAGGAUUAGAUACCCGGGUAGUCCCUGUCUCUUAUAC
rnacentral:rRNA from 1 species